GGAGAUGGAGAGAGAGACAAAUGGAAAGAGAGGAAGAUGGAAAUAUCGUGGAAGAGAGAGAGAGGGGACGAGGUUAGGUAAGUGCAAGACCAAAGAAAGGACAGUAUGAGUGACAGUUGAAGUUUUAUGAAAGGAAAGCAUGAGAUGGAAGGAAAGAAGGAAAACAAGAUACAGACAAGGGUAAGGAUGAGUGGAGGGAUAUGAGAAAAGUUACUUCAGAUUUCAAGUCGGAACUGGCAGACAGUUCAACAUGAUUCUUACAUUUUCCCACAUUCGCAACACACAAAGAAUACACUAACUUAAAUUAAUACUUAAUCAUACUGUUAUCUAUAUAGCACAUUUCCUGCCAUAGCCAUUCAGUUUAUCUCAGUUUAUAACGCUUUAAAAACACAUGCCGUAACACUUCACUUCAAUUGCAGUUCUCUUAUAAUAUUAUCGCGUGGACAUCUUAACAUAUAAUGCAUGUUGAAGUUACUGUACAUUAGACACAGUUUGACACAUCAAAUGGCCACAUCAAUAACAAGCCUAACGACAUGCAAUAGAAACACAACACUAGGUCACUCAAAUCAAGGGUAGAAACCAUAGAAUUAGAACAGACAGCACUCGUCAAAAUGACACUUAAAUAUUUGUUGGACAUAUUUCCGACUCUCAGUAACCAAAAUAACAUCACCUAGAGGGUGCAAGAAUAAAUACCAAUUUAAUUUUGCCUCUGUUAAAAGGCCCAUGAAAAUUAUUCAUAAAUAUUACUAUGUUAUACCCAAUUAUACUAUUUUGAUUCCGGAUAUUGUAAAUCUAUGGUAAAGACUACUUCUCAAUGAAAAAUAUGAACUAGUCCUGUCAUGAUUAUCACAAAAGAGGGAGUGUUUAUGGGGUAACACGUUACUAGAACUCUGCAUCAUAAAUAUGUCAUAAGCCUGUCAUUAGCAUACAACAUCUGUUAUAAGCAGUCAUGAUACGUUCGUUUAUGCUGCAAUACAUUCCUGGUAGCUUUCAGCGAUAUGCCAAUUAAACAUGGCAGUUACACUUCCUAUGGAUACCUUCUUCAUAAUGCAUUAUAAUGCAUCUUGCAUAUCUCAUAAGGCAUUAUAUAUAUGCCUAUAAAGCAUUAUGAAGAGGGUAUUCAUAGGAAGUGUUACGACCAUGCUUAUUUCUCAGCUAGCUGAUGUACUAGUCUAAAUGAUUAGAGCCAUGUCAUGUAUCAUAUUGUAGCAACCUUAAAGGGUAGGAAGCAUGAGUUUUUACUCACCAAAGUAACAACACAGUGUGUUCAAAGACUUAAUAACUUAGUUAUAGUCAUGAUCUGGUUACCUAUAACUGCAAACAUGGUUAUGUUUUGGAGUUUUUACAUUUUUACCAUUUGGUAACUUUUUUCAGAUAUCUUCUAAACUACCCACAKGCACUAUUUCUCAACUUCAUAUGGAGAAUCUACUCUGCGUUAGCUAGCUCGAGGUGGCUAACGUUAGCCACUAGCCAUGCAGACUGAGUGUUGGCAGUGGUGAGCUACAAUCCACCAAUCACGAGGAGGUGUGGUGUAAACAACCAAUCAUAUUCCCCACAUGUGGGGGAUGCCUGUUUUUUGUGAAAUAUGCUACCAGAGUUUUUCAACCUUGGUUUAGUACUAGUGUGCUACAGUAGCUGACUGACUAUGCUGUUGUGAUCAUUUCCAUCUGCCUGGAGCCUUCCUCCAAUCUCCGUCUUAAUCUUGACUCUUCCCCUCGUCUCCUGUGCACAUCCCUGCCUCUGGAUUAUUGCCACUGGAAUCAAUCUAUUUUGGAUUUACCUCAAAAUAUCACCAUUGGAUUAGCUGACUCUCCCUCGGCCGGUGAAACGGCCUCUCCUUCUGAACCUCCUCUCUCCUUGACUCUUCUUUGGUAGCUAACRCAGCCAUCAAUCUGUGAUGACUGCUCUUCACACCAGUGUGGACGAAGGAAAGAACACAAGGAGAGGAAGCUAUUGAGGUGCACACCUCAUAUAAAAUUGAGGCAGAUUGGCAUGGAAAUGCAGACCCGUCGACUACACAAACAGGUUUUUCUACAGAGCCAGCCCUCCUGACAAGAAUCCAAUAUCAAGCCCCUCUAAAGGGAUGGGAAAUAAUUGGAGCAAAAUGGACCUCCUGCACAAAUUACCCUCAGUCACAGAUUUGCUCCAAAGCCUCAUCCUCUUUACACGCCCCAAACUGCAGGGCCAUGGGGUUGAAGAUGCCCAUUUGACCAGCCAUCUGCUGCAUGCGCCGGAUGGUGCGCUCCUUAUCCGUGU